GUCCCUUUCGAUUAGUGGUUAGAUCAUCACGUUGUGGAAUCACCUGACCGUGGGAAAAUCCUUCUCCGUGAAGACGCAGGCUCGACUCCUGCAUGGGACA